AAUCAGGAUUCAAGCGAAGGCGUCUGACUACAGCCUUUGCUCCAAAGCAGUAUGCUGCACUAAAACAAACAAACAAACAAACAAAAAACAAAGAAGAAGGGCAUUUCAGGACAAGAAAACAGCACCUUGAAAGGCCCAGAAGCCUGAAUGAACACAGAGCCUGCGAGUUAUAACUCAGGGUUCAGAGGCUGCGCUGUGUUUUGAAAGAGCAGCGGUCUCUCCCACAGAUCCAGGAAGUCAGCUACCCCAACCUGGGAAGGGCGUUUCCACCACCAAGAGAGAUAAAAACCAUUGCUUUAGGUCUGUGUACUUUUGAGGACAAAUGUAUACUUCUGUUCCAGAACGUAUAGUUUUGAGCACAAAUACUAAACCUUUUCCUCCUGCUGCUUCUGAACAUUCCUCUUGUCUAAAACACUCUCACCGUUUGGCUUCCCCUCCUCCUCGGAGCCGCCCUCUGGGACAGGUUUCAGAGGAGGGAAAGCAGACACUGUCUCAGGACACCUGUGCACAGCUGUACAGUGUGGUGGGAAGGGCACCGGCCUGGACACCAAGGAAGUGAUCCAGCUUCUAAUUCCAGCCCCCCGGGGGACCUUUCGGCAUGUCACAUGUUCACCCACGGCUUUAGUGUCCCCGUGUGAAAGACACGGACCAGGAAUGCUAUCAAGUUCGUGCUGUCCCUGUUCCUCAAAUGAGGACACGAAGGCAUGGAGAUGGGAAAGUAUAGUGACAGUGGACUCCUCCUAGGCUGUGUCAGAGGAAGAAAGAGGGGAUAUUGAGGAUAAUUCAUGUUUAAUUUCUCUUGACAAAAAAAAAUUAAUACUUGGUGACUGAAAAUCUAUCCACGCACGUACAAAUUCAGACUGAGUCCGUCUAGGGAAGAGAAAUAGCUCCUUAGUACAAAUGAGAUUUUUCUUUCUAUAAAACCAAAUAAUAUGGGGCCAGCUCAGUGGCGCAGCAGUUAAGUUCGCACACUCUGCUUCAGCGACCUGGAGUUCCCGGGUUCAGAUCCUGGGUGCGCACAUGGCACCUCUUGGCAAGCCAUGCUGUGGAGGGGGCCCCACAUAUAAAGUAGAGGAAGAUGGGCACGGAUGUUAGCUCAGGGCCAGUCUUCCUCAGCAAAAAGAGAGGAUUGGCAGCAGAUGUUAGCUCAGGGCUAAUCUUCCUCAAAAACAAACAAACAAA
rnacentral:lncRNA from 1 species